rnacentral:rRNA from 1 species
AACUAACGCUGGCGGCGCGUCUUAAACAUGCAAGUCGAACGAUAACCAUUGAGCUUGCUUAGUGGUGAAAGUGGCGAACGGGUGAGUAACACGUGAAUAAUCUGCCUCUGGGAUGGGGAUAACGUUUCGAAAGGAACGCUAAUACCGAAUAAGAUGGUAGCUACACAAGUAGCAGUCAUUAAAGGUGGGGACCGCAAGGCCUACCGCCUGGAGAUGAGUUCGCGGCUGAUUAGCUAGUUGGCGGGGUAACGGCCCACCAAGGCGACGAUCAGUAGCCGGCCUGAGAGGGUGAACGGCCACAUUGGGACUGAGAUACGGCCCAGACUCCUACGGGAGGCAGCAGUUAAGAAUCUUGCACAAUGGGGGAAACCCUGAUGCAGCGACGCCGCGUGGAUGAUGAAGGCUUUCGGGUUGUAAAGUCCAUUAGACAGGGAAGAAUAAGCGCCGGGUAAUAUUCGGCGUGAUGACGGUACCUGUUGAAAGCCCCGGCUAACUACGUGCCAGCAGCCGCGGUAAU